CUCCAUGAAGUUGGAUUCGCUAGUAAUCGCGCAUCAGCCAUGGCGCGGUGAAUACGUUCCCGGGCCUUGUACACACCGCCCGUCAAGCCAUGGGAGCUGGGGGUGCCUGAAGUUCGUGACCGCAAGGAGCGACCUAGGGCAAAACCGGUGACUGGGGCUAAGUCGUAACAAGGUACC
rnacentral:rRNA from 1 species